AGAGUUUGAUCAUGGCUCAGGACGAACGCUGGCGGCGUGCCUAAUACAUGCAAGUCGAGCGAAUCUAAAGGGAGCUUGCUUCCUUUAGAUUAGCGGCGGACGGGUGAGUAACACGUGGGUAACCUGCCUGUAAGACUGGGAUAACUCCGGGAAACCGGUGCUAAUACCGGAUAAGUUGUUCCUCCACAUGGAGGAACAUUGAAAGAUGGCUUCGGCUAUCACUUACAGAUGGACCCGCGGCGCAUUAGCUAGUUGGUGAGGUAACGGCUCACCAAGGCAACGAUGCGUAGCCGACCUGAGAGGGUGAUCGGCCACACUGGGACUGAGACACGGCCCAGACUCCUACGGGAGGCAGCAGUAGGGAAUCUUCCGCAAUGGACGAAAGUCUGACGGAGCAACGCCGCGUGAGUGAUGAAGGUUUUCGGAUCGUAAAACUCUGUUGUUAGGGAAGAACAAGUACCGUUCGAAUAGGGCGGUGCCUUGACGGUACCUAACCAGAAAGCCACGGCUAACUACGUGCCAGCAGCCGCGGUAAUACGUAGGUGGCAAGCGUUGUCCGGAAUUAUUGGGCGUAAAGCGCGCGCAGGCGGUUUCUUAAGUCUGAUGUGAAAGCCCACGGCUCAACCGUGGAGGGUCAUUGGAAACUGGGAGACUUGAGUGCAGAAGAGGAGAGUGGAAUUCCACGUGUAGCGGUGAAAUGCGUAGAUAUGUGGAGGAACACCAGUGGCGAAGGCGACUCUCUGGUCUGUAACUGACGCUGAGGCGCGAAAGCGUGGGGAGCAAACAGGAUUAGAUACCCUAGUAGUCC
rnacentral:rRNA from 1 species